AAUAGUGUGUCUGCUGACCAUCAGUACGUGACAGUCGACCACCAACCUUUGCCCCUCAUUUCCCUCGUAAAACCUACAUGUAACCGCCCCUCAACCCCUCCCCCUCAUGCACCUGGCCAAUCAAAAAUGUACACUUCAUGCUCACUAAUUGUCAACCAAUCAUGUAACUGCUAAAUUAAAAAAUCUCCAAACCUUGCUGUAACCUCUAUAAAAACCCUGGUAAUUUAAAAUUCGGGGCUCUCGAUCUUGAUCCGCUGCGUCGGUGACAAUUGAGAGUCCCUGCUCGAGCUUGAAUAAAAGACCCUCGUGCAUUUGCAUCGGAAUCGGCUCCUUGGUGGUCUUUGGGGACUUCGCGAUCUGGGCACAACAAUGCGUAUACGGACUAUGGACCCUGUUUUAAGCACUUGGCACAGUAAUAUCUCAGUCCUCGCAACCAUUCUGAGUUGGAUGCCAUUAUUUAUUUCCCACCUCUCUUUUGUUUAAAAAAAAAAAAAAACUUGGCUGUAGUUCGUACAGCUAGGAAAUAUACGGCGCACGCCUGUAAUAUCAGCACCCUGGAGGUUGUGGCAGGAGGAUUGCGAGCUCGAGGCCAGCGUGGGGAACACUGCAAGCUCAAGGCCAGCCUGGCCUACACCACGAGAUCUUGUCUCAAGAAGCCAAAAAAGAGUCUACUUUGUUUACUACACUGGCGGUCUGAAACCGCUGAGGACGGGGGACCUUUUUUUGGGUCAGCUUGUGUAGCGUCAAGGACGUUGGACCAUGGACAUAAUAGAAACGUGAUUACCUUGUCGUAGAACAUAGACUGGACUGCGGAGGUGUUAACAUUCGGGUUUGCUCGCAAACGCGACACCGGCGAAUCCCACUAAUCUGUCAGGUGGUUCUGGGCAUCCUUCGCCACUUCCGCUUGUAGCUCCUCCCCUCGGGCCUUAACCUUCUGUUUCGCGUUCAAGAAUUUUGUCCCCAACGCCGAGCCGUCUUCCCGCUUUCGCUGCUGUUAUGGCGGCAGCUCCGCUGCUCUCCAAGGCCGAGUACCUGAAGCGUUACCUGUCCGAGAAUGAUGCUGGCAUGGACGGGGGACCCGCGUCCGGUCGCAAGCGGCGCAAAAAGCGACCGAAGCCAGGAGGGGCCGGCGGCAAGGGAAUGCGGAUUGUUGAUGAUGAUGUGAGCUGGACAGCUAUCUCUACCACUAAACCAGAAAAGGAAGAGGAAGAUGAUGUAGAUCUGCCAGUGGUGGCUGAGUUUGUGGAUGAGCGACCAGAAGAGGUAAAGCAGAUGGAGGCUUUUCGUUCUAGCACCAAAUGGAAGCUUCUGGGAGACCAUAGUGAAGACCUGCCCUUACCUAUGUAUCAGGAUACUCCGGAUUCAUCUCCUAGGAGGGCCCAUCGUGAUACCCUGGAUCCAUCUCCUUCCAGGAGGGCCCGUCAUGAUACCCCGGAUCCAUCUCCUCCCAGGAGAGCCCGUCAUGAUACCCCGGAUCCAUCUCCUCCCAGGAGGGCCCGUCAUGAUACCCUGGAUCCAUCUCCUCCCAGGAGAGCCCGUCAUGAUACCCCAGAUCCAUCUCCUCCCAGGAGGGCCCAUCAUGAUACCCCGGAUCCAUCUCCUCCCAGGAGAGCCCGUCAUGAUACCCCGGAUCCAUCUUCUCCCAGGAGGGCCCGUCAAGACUCAGACACAUCUCUUCCCAGGAGGAUCCACCAUGACUCCUCAGAUGCAUCCCCUCUUAGGAAACCUCAUCAUAAUUCUUCAGAUAUAUCUCCUAGAAGAGUCCCUCAUGAUUCCUCAGGUAUCCAUAACAAUGCCUCUGACCCAUCCCAACCUAGGAGGACUCUUGACUCCUCAGACACAUGGCAUCCCAGGAGGGGUCAUCAUGACUCCUCUCAUUUGGCCCCUGAUGUUGCUCAUUCACUGCCCAGAAUCAAAAGAAAUAAAACCCCAGAAAGAGCCUCUAGCAAGACUUCUUCACAUUGGAAGGGGUCAGGACCUACUCAUCCAUCACUCCUGAAGAACAUCGAAAGUGAAUAUGAUUCAGACCUCUCUCCUCCCCGAAAAAAACAAGGAAAAUCUCAUUUUGGAGAUAAGAAGCAGCUUGAUUCUAAAGGUGACUACAGGAAAGCUUCUGAUUCAGAUCUUUCACCUCCACGGCAUAAACGGAGUCCAGGGCACCAGGAUUCUGAUUCAGAUCUGUCACCUCCAAGGAAUAGACCAAGACGCCAGAGCUCUGAUUCUGACCUCUCUCCACCAAGGAGGAAACAGAGGACCAAAUCUUCGGAUUCUGAUCUGUCUCCACCUCGAAGGAGUCAGCCUCCUGGAAAGAAGGCUGCGCACAUGUAUUCUGGGGCUAAAACUGGGUUGGUGUUAACUGACAUACAGCAAGAACAGCAGGAGCUCAAAAAACGGGAUCAAGAAAACAUGGCGUUUGAAGGUAAAAAUGAAAGUGCAGGGUGCAGUCUAGGCUCGUGUAGCUUUUUUUCUUUUUAA
rnacentral:lncRNA from 1 species